AACGAACGCUGGCGGCAGGCUUAACACAUGCAAGUCGAACGAGAAACCAUCUUCGGAUGGCAGACAGUGGCAGACGGGUGAGUAACGCGUGGCAACCUACCUUUUUCUACGGAACAACAGUUGGAAACGACUGCUAAUACCGUAUACGCCCUGCGGGGGAAAGAUUUAUCGGUGAAAGAUGGGGCCGCGUUAGAUUAGCUAGUUGGUAAGGUAAUGGCUUACCAAGGCGACGAUCUAUAGCUGGUCUGAGAGGAUGAUCAGCCACACUGGGACUGAGACACGGCCCAGACUCCUACGGGAGGCAGCAGUGGGGAAUAUUGGACAAUGGGGGCAACCCUGAUCCAGCCAUGCCGCGUGAAUGAUGAAGGCCUUAGGGUUGUAAAAUUCUUUCGCUAGGGAUGAUAAUGACAGUACCUAGUAAAGAAGCCCCGGCUAACUCCG
rnacentral:rRNA from 1 species